AAACCGAGCACAAACAAGACGAAACAGACGAAACUUCUAACAUUUGUAGUCUGUGGGUUUAAUUUCACUUUUACACGCGACUUGUUAUCACAUCGCUCACUUUAACAUACUGACUGACUUUACAACAGUCACAUAAUUUGUCAGGUGCAGCUUUUUAAAGACGGCUCCUCUGUCUUCCUCACUCAGGUCGUUACUGUCGGAUGGAGAAUGGAGGAAAGACACAAGAAGAUCCUUCAGCGCAACAGGACCAACCUGGUGAGAGACUUGGACCCAUCGAACCUCUACGACGGCCUUCUUGAAAAGAGAGUUUUCACCCAGGACAUGAUCGAUGAGAUUAAGGGCUCUGGGACCAGACGGGACCAGGCCAGACAGUUGGUCCGGGACUUGGAGACCCGCGGGAGUCGAGCCUUUCCAUUGUUUCUGCUGUGCCUUCAGGAGACAGGGCAGCACAGUCUGGCGGAGCUCCUACAGAAUGGAGCUCCAACAGUUCAUCUACAGCCCGCGACACCCACCGAGGUUCUUCGGCCUGUUCUGCAGCCUCUCCCAGUUUCCUCUCCAAUGGAUGUUGACAAGCAAAGAAAAGAAGUCCCUGUCCAGCCAGUACAGAGACCCAGUACUACUCCCAGUCCAUCACCUGAAAGGGAGCACAUAAGACCAAGACCACCAGGCAGACAACGACGGGACAGUAUACAGAGCUAUAAAAUGGAUGCCAGCCCAUGUGGGCACUGCCUCAUCAUAAACAAUGUGGAGUUUGAACCUCAGAGUGAAUUGAGCAACCGAAAAGGCUCCAACAUCGACUGUGACAAGCUGGAGAGAAGAUUCAAGGCACUCAACUUUAUUGUGGAAGUCAAGGCAAACUUAAAACAAAGACAAAUCAAGCGUGAACUGUCAGCUCUGUCUAAGGAGGACCACUCACAAUAUGACUGCUGUGUGGUUAUCAUGCUGUCACAUGGGACUGAGGUGAGUCACAACCGGUUCCCUGGUGCUGUGUAUGGUGUGGAUGGACAGUCCGUCCCAGUUCAGCACAUCACAAACUACCUCAACGGCCAGCACUGCCCGUCUCUACAGGGCAAACCCAAACUUUUCUUCAUCCAGGCAUGUGGAGGAGGUGAAAGAGACACAGGGUUUGAGGUGUCACCGGAUGAGGUCAAACCGUCCGUCGGUGGAGCAGACGACCAGACGGACGCCAUUCCCAUGUCAUCCAGCAGCGACUCUCUGAGCAUGUCCGACGAACCGGACGCCAGAGUCACUCUGCCCACGCCGAGUGACAUUCUGGUGUCCUACUCAACUUUUCCUGGUUAUGUUUCUUGGAGAGACACCCAGUCUGGAUCCUGGUACAUUGAGACAAUGGACCGUAUCCUCGAGGAAAAUGCUGCCACAGAUGACUUAGUGACAAUGUUGAUGAUGGUGAACCACGAGGUCUCCCAAAACUCUGCAAAAGGGCUCUAUAAGCAAAUGCCUGGUUCCUUUAACUUCCUCCGCAAACUUCUCUACUUUCAAACCCAAACGUAGCCAAGGUUCAAAGUUCAGCUCGAUGAGUUUCUCACUUUUAGAUUCAGGUUCAAUGUUCAAUGUCUCUUUCAAUUACUGUAAUUUCUUGGGAUUGUGUCUCAGAAGAGUUUUGAGAUGUAUGAAUUUGCUAAAUCGUGGUUUUACAUUGAUAUUGUUUAUCAAGCCUUUCUGUGUUUUUAAUCAUUGAUAUCUUCUUUAUAUGAACUUCUUAAACAUAGGUGUCAUCUUGGAAAGAAAAUAUGUACUGUGAACAUGUGGCUCAGCUACAUGUUCCAUAAUCCAACCCAUGCUGUUCCACUACAGUUACUCUAAUGUAACACACACAGCUGGCCAGUGACAGGGUGAGUCAUUUUAUAAGGAGAAGGUCUAGCACCGAAACGUUGUAUUAAAUUGUUUGUUGCACUUCAGACAGUGCCGGGACUUUUUGAUUGCCACUCUGGAUCCACUCAUCCUGUUCCUACACACCUGCCUCCCUAAAUAGAUGUUUUGAAUUUCACCACCACACCACAUGUCUGAAUCCAGUAACAUUUACACACUGGAAGCACAACAACAGAACUGGGAGAACUGGGCUUGUGCUCACAGGUAGUUCCUACAUACUGGUGCAGUCCACAAGGGAAAGCAUGGGGGUUAAACAUCAAAGACAAUGAAAGAGAAAAACAAAAUAAAUAUAAAUAAAAAAUGUAUGUGUUAAAAUAAUCCCUUAAGGCCCAACAUUCAUCUUAACACACCAGCAGUGAUAUCACAUACACCUCCCUUAAAACUGCCAGGAAAUUUAUACCCAUAAUUUAUGUAUUACAUACACGUUGUUGGUGUUAUCAUUGAUUCUUUUUUUUAUGAUCAAUUAUUUGUUGCAUAAAUAAGCAAGUAACAACACAAAAUUAGAUAUUAUUGGAGGAAUGAAACAUGCAAAGUGUGCUAAUGAACGAAAGUUAUAGGCAUCACUGUUGCUUGUGCUACUGUUGAGGUUCAGUAUGUAACACUGAUGGCAAUCCUAAAAGAAAAGCUCCUGUACUUUUCUAGACUCCAGACUCCAGUAGAUGGUGUCUGUGACCCUCAGAUAUUUGUACUUUCUGUGAGUUUUUUGGUUCCCACCACGACCACCAGGGGUCUCCACUAACUUAGAAUCGGUUCCAUUUAAAUCACCUCAACAACACAAAGUGUUUGAAAUGCAGGUUCAUCUCUCACCUCUUAAACUACAAACAAUGAAAUCACUCUGACACAUACAUACAUACAUACAUGGCCGAAUAAAACAACACAUGGAAAUGGAGAAAAAAAAACAGUAUAUUUCAAAUAAAGUGCAAAGUACAAUAGGUGUGUGUCACAGAUGUUAGUGUAGCAUUAGUCUAGUCUCCAUGUUUGACAUCAGAUUUUCAUAUUGUAUGUUUGAAACAGUUAUUUCUCUUUUAACUCUUUUAUUUUGUAACCCCAAUUAUAAGUAUUUAUAAACACAAUAAUAAAUAAUGAUUAUUAGUUAUUAUUUAUGAUUAUAACUCCUUUUCGAUCU